rnacentral:lncRNA from 1 species
GGAAGAUUGUUUAGUCUUAAACAUCUGAUGGCUCCCAAGACUUGAUUUGUCACAGUUAGAUGGACAAUGGUUGGUGUGACUCUAUAGAGUGAUAUGAUCUUGGAAGUAGCAGCUACAUUUUCCUAUUUUUCAUUUUAACAAAACAGGUUUAUUAAGAUGUAAUUUACAUACCAUAAAGUUAGUCAUAGAAACUGUCCAGUUGAAUGGCUUCUAGUAUAAUAUAUUUACAGAGUUGUGCAACCAUCAGCAUAAUCUAUGUUUAGGACACUUUCAUCACCUCAAAAAGAAACCCCAUAUCCAUUAGCAGUCACUGCCAUUUUCCUCCACUCUGCCAGCCCCAGCAACUGCUAAAACACUUUUUGUUUCUAUGUACUUUCCUAUAUUGGAUGUUACAUAUAAGUUGUAUUAUAUGAUGCAUGGUCUUUUGUGACGGAUUUCUUCUAAUUAGUAUAGUGUUUUUGAGAUGCAGUCACCUUGUAGCAUAUUUCAGGACUUACCCCUUCUCAUUGCUGAAUAACAUUCCAUUGUAUGAAUAUGUCACAUUUUGUUUAUUCAAUAUCCUGCUUUUUUCACCUCUCUGAAAUGUUUGUCUUUGUCUAUAAUUACUUAGAAAUUCUUCUCCCUUGAUUUUUUAAAUACUACUUUUGGUUUUGCUCGAUUUUUUCUGGCUAUGAUGCUUCAAAAUCUCAUGGGAUUCUCUUCUUCCACUCACUGUUUAACUCUUGAUGCUUCUCAGAUGCAUCUUUAGACUCAGAAAUAGGAAUGCCUGCCUAGAGCAUCUUCUUGAAGGCCCCACAUGUCACAAUCUCCCAGUACAUUUAUUAAAGAACACGAGGGCACUGCUACAGUUGGGAUUCAGUACUUACUACUAGGACAGUGUGUCUCAUAACCUUAAACAACUACUCUCGUGACUAAAGUUGUUCAGGCCUGGGGAAAUUCUCUACAUCUGUUGACCCAUGUCUUCUAAACACAAGCUGUCUAGGACCAAGUCCCAUAAAGGAGUGCGGGCUAUGCUGUUGCAGAAGUCAAAGACUGGACACCACUUUGGAAUGCAGGGAAGAUUGGAGAGACAGAAGUGCUUAGGUCAGGAUUUAUACUUAUUUAAGGCACUGCAGUGGCCACUUUUAAGCCAAAGAACUGGGAUAUGGAGGAUCCAAGAUGGCCGAAUAGGAACAGCUUCGGAGUGCAGUUCCCAGUGA